rnacentral:lncRNA from 10 species
CUGAAGCCCAGCGAGGUUCUGCAGUGUGCUUGAUAUCCCAGGGAGUGACGGUGGAGCUGAACUCAGUGCAGCCUGAUGGACUCGCAGGAUGGUCCUCUCAGCCCCCAGCUGAAUAUGUUCACUGCUCAAUUCAGGCAACCAUCCACCGAGGGUGCUGGACCCAAAUGCAAAACACUGAUUUGAAUUCUACGAGUGAUGUCUUCAACAGAAAGCCAAUUUCAGGAGUCCAUGGCUACCAGCAGAGAACACACGAAAUCAAGAAAGAACGCCAGAAUCGUGCCUGCCCCAUUGUGAGGUGCUCAGCUGCUGGGCUGCCAUGCUCUUUGUCUGGGGAUGAGAGGGGGUCCCCCUGA